GGCUUAUUGAAAAUAAUUUUAAGUCAAUUCUGCCCAAUGAUUUUAUAAAAUUUAAUGGCUGCAGUAUAAUUAACUGUCCAAAGGUAGCAUAAUCAAUUGUUUUUUAAUUAAAAACUGGAAUGAAAGAGUUAAUGAGAUAUAUACUGUCUCAUAUAUAUUUAAUUAAUUUAAAUUUUUAGUAAAAAUGCUGAAAUUUAUUUAUGGGACGAUAAGACCCUAUAGAAUUUUAUAUUAAUAUUAUAAUUAUAAUUUAUUUAUUUAAUAUUAAUAUUUUGUUGGGAGGAUAGAUAAAUUUAUUUAACUUUAUUUAUAAUAUAAACUUUAAUUAAAGAAUAAUUUUUGAUCUUUUAAUAAAAAUUAAAAGAAUAAAUUACCUUAGGGAUAACAGCGUAAUAUCUUUUUAAAGAUCAUAUUGAAAAAGAUGAUUGCGACCUCGAUGUUGAAUUAAGAUAAAUUUUAAAUGGAGAAAUUUAAUAAUUAAGUCUGUUCGACUUUUAAAAUCUC
rnacentral:rRNA from 1 species